rnacentral:lncRNA from 1 species
GUUAACGAAAUUUUUGGUUAACGAACGACUGUGGAACAAAUUGUGUUCAUUAACCGAGGGACCACUGUACGAGUACAGUAUAUUGAAAUUUUUUUUCCAAUAUUUCUAAUUUAUAAGAGAUCAUUUUUUGUUUAAUCUGAGGGAAGUUAUGUGGAGCAUUUGGUAAGAAUUUUGAGGACAUUACAUGUACUAUAAAAUGAAGGAUUGAUUUACAAUAUUUGUAUCACUGUACAGUACAGUAUAUGCAAGCAGGUGUCAAGAAUCAGCACUCGUUUCAAGGGCCACAAAUUCAGCACAUAUUUAUUGAACACACAUCUUAUAUUCAUAUACUACAGUGUACUGUACACAAGUGUAUUUUACUUUUUUCUGAUACAAUGGAGAAAAAUCAUUUCACAAAUAAUUUGGCCAGUGGUUCUAUCAUAAAUUACCUCUUGGCCAGUGGAGCUAUCAUGAGGUACCUCUUGGCCAGUGGUUCUAUCAUAAGGUACCUCUUGGUCAGUGGUUCUAUCCUACGUUACCUCUUGGCCAGUGGAGCUAUCAGUAGGUACCUCUUGGCCAGUGGUUCUAUCACAAGGUACCUCUUGGUCAGUGGUUCUAUCCUACGUUACCUCUUGGCCAGUGGAGCUAUCAGUAGGUACCUCUUGGCCAGUGGUUCUAUCACAAGGUACCUAAGUAAAAGAGACUCACAGCUAGCACAGGUGUACAUCAGCCAGGGACACAUACCAACAUAGGAACAGAAACGAGAGGUAAAACACUGGAUCAUGAUAAGAAGCCCACCUCAGUUUGAAGCUUUGUUCUGAAAGUUAUUGCAAACGGAAUGAAAUGCAAUGUCAGUACUUAAGAUAGAAGUCACUCUAAACGGAAUACACAAAAUAAAAGGUGGGUAUGAAGGGUAUUUAAUGGGUGCAGGAAUAAAACCAGAACCCUUCAGUGAUCCUUGUUAAGAAAAUAAAUACAUCAGUAUGCAAGGUUUAUAUCUAUAAAUGUUUCAUGGUUCUUAUUUAUGAAAAACUGCCAUUGUUGACUUAUAAGUUGGAGAUUUUCAUGACACAAAGCAAAAGGUGGGAGGAAUAAGAGAGACAUAAUAGGGGAAUAAGUAAAAUUACAAGGAAAUAGAUACAUAAUCACAUAAGAUUACUGAUAUGACUAUGAUCAAUAUUUUUUGGGUGUUUGAUGGUCAUAUCCAUUUCUCAGGAUCAAUCAAUAAUCAUUAUUUCUUCAUAUUUAAGGCAGAGUUGGGUGUUCAAUUUCCAGAAUACACUGUAUAAGGAGUUAUUUCCAUACAAUCAUACCUUCAACACAAUCAAUUGUGCUCAGAACUAAUUAGUUUAUACAGUACAGGUACCUGCAUUGUGUUCCUUUGUUACAUAUUCAAACACAGAGUUCAUUCAAUUUAUACAUUUGGUUGUAUUUCAUUUUUGAGAAUUUCUUUAUCAUAAAACAGUAUAUCACCUCAUACCAGAGACUGCUGAAGGUUUUCACAAGUGUGGAAAGUCCCAGAGUAAGUUUUUUUGGGUCUGCCCCGGACUAACCCCAAAACAUGCAGGUGAUGCAAGGUGUUGGUCUAGGUGAGAGAUCUCAGUACCAUUCCAUACUACUUAAUGGUGCAUACAUUUUCAUAUACAUUUCAUAUAAUUAAUUAGAUAAUUAAACUUUAUCAUUUUUCAGCAUUGGAUUUUCCAUUUUGUAAAAUUUAUGAUAUGUAGAUGAGAUUACAUUUAAAAGGGUCAUCUUUUCUUUCUUUGUUUUUUUUAUAAUUAUGUUCUGACAAGAUUGGCAUGAUAUAUUUAAAUAAGACUGGAUUAGUUAAACCUCUCUAGUAGUUAUGGGAGAAGUGAAUUCCUAAAGGAUUACUGCUAAUGUGAUAAGGUUUUUAGUGUCAUUGUGUUGACUGGUAGGAAGAACCACACUGACGAUGUUACUCAUAUUGUCAUCUCAUAAAUCAAUCAAAAUCUAAA